rnacentral:rRNA from 1 species
AGAAUCAACGCUGGCGGCGUGCCUAAUACAUGCAAGUCGAACGCGAAAGUCCCGCAAGGGAUGAGUAGAGUGGCAAACGGGUGAGUAACGCGUAGGUGACCUGCCUUCGAGUGGGGGAUAACGUUUCGAAAGGAACGCUAAUACCGCAUGACAUCCUGCCUUUUAACGGGCGGAGAUCAAAGCCGGGGAUCGCAAGACCUGGCGCUUGAAGAGGGGCCCGCGUCCGAUUAGCUAGUUGGUGGGGUAAUGGCUCACCAAGGCAACGAUCGGUA